CUUCUCCAAGAGUGCGCUGCCUGGGCCCGCUUGCCCUGGAGUGUAAGUGCUGGGUAAAUAAGAACCGCCUGGCGCAGGCUGUGUCUACUCUUCACGCCGCCUUCUCAGAUCGGGCUGCAUGUCCCCACUCCGUGUUUACAUCUCGUUCCCGCUCCGGGUCUCGGUGACUGGCUCCUCAAGCCGGAGACGCGUGUGGUGCGGCGCGAUGCGGGCGCCAGCGCUGUGUGUGCUGGCGGUGCGCUGCCUUAGUGCGGGGGAAAGUGGAGGGAACGGUCCUGCGGGGCGUUCUGUCCAAGAAAAAGGACUGCAGCCUCGGGGAGCCAGGGUCCCCUCGCAGACGAGCUGCCAACGCCGCGGAGCCAUUUCUGUUCCACCCUAGGGGAGGAGUAGGGGGAUAUCUUUUAAAAGUUUAAUUGCAAAAUAAGUAGGUUAGUAAGGCCAUUUGUGGUUGCUGUUUCAGUAACUUCAGCAGUCAACGGAGAGAAGAGUGGAAACCUUACUGGAUGCGGACAGGAGAGCCAGUUACUGAAAGCAGAUAUAACGCGGAUCCUGUAAAGAGUGGUGUGUAUCCAAAAAAAAAAAAUCUGUACAAUGUAUUUUAAAACUUGUGUGCACAAAACUGAAGAUUUUCUUUUUUACCUAGUCCAAAUGCCGUCCUAGCCUGAGUCCUGCUCUUUAUAAAAAUAAAAUAAAAAGAAUUUGAAGCUUGUGAAAGUAUUAAGUGUAGACAUUCAAGUUUAUUUGAAACCCUACCAAAAAAAAAAAAAAACAACCUUAAAAACCAGUGUAACAGGAAGGCGGGAGCCUGCUAAAACGAUUAGGCCUAAGACAGGGUUAACCCCAACUCCAUUAAGGAGAAGGGGGAAAAGAAAAAAAGAAAGAUGAAGGGAGGCAGGCAGAUGGAGAAAGCAAACAGGAGGCAGAAGUUGAACUCUACCAGAUGGAAAUAAAUAUCCCGACCUUAGUUGAUCAUCAAUAUUGCAAAACACACCACUUUGAGUGUUUUUUUUUUCUUUUUAAUACUGAGCUAAAGGAUAUAGAAAUGAAGCAAAAAUAAUGACAUUAUAAAACAGGAGAAAACGUUUUAUUGUUUAAAAAAUAUGUAAAACUCGAUUUGAAAAAAUAACUUCUAGAUUAUUUUUUCAUUAGUACACAUAACUAAGUAGUUACAUGU
rnacentral:lncRNA from 1 species